GAGCAACCAUUUUCUUCUUCUUCUCCUCUUCCUUAGGCGUCUUCUCCUUGUUCUUCUUCUUUUUGAUUUUCUUCAAUUCUUACUCACUAAACACAUCAAAUACACUCCAUUUUACCUUGAUUAAGUAAUUACUCUUAGACAACGGAGCUUGAGUAGUGAUUUUGGGUGAUUAAUUUCAAGAAAUUUGGAGAUUCUCUACCUAAAUCAAAGGUUGGGGAACCUUCUACUAAGGUGAAAGACAAAGUUAAGGCUUAGAGAGCUUUAAUCUAAGCUUGCUAAAACUUGUUUUAAGGUUAGUGUUUAUAAAUACACUUUCCUUCUUUGAAUUUUGAUUUUUGUGAAUUUAUGCUACUUGUGAAAAUUCUGAAUUUUGUAUGAAAUGAUUUGAUUGUUGAACUUUAGUUGUAUAAAUAUGCUUUUGGAUGAUUUCUAAGCAUGACUACAUGUUUGAUUGAAGUGGAAAAUAUCUUCCUCUUCUUUUUCCAAGAGACACCGAACCUACUAAGGAAAAAGGGGUUUAAGUUUUUCUUGUUUUCUUUGUUGGUUUAUGCUCUUAAAAUGAUGUUUGAUGAGUAUUUAGUAUGUGGUAGAAAUAUUUACCUUGUAUCUUUUGUCUUUCAUAGUCUUGUUCAUGACUAAAGGAAGUUAAAAUGUGGGAAAAUGUGGAUUUGGUUCAGAUAAUGCAUGAUGAGGUUGUAAAUGGUCAUUUGGAUGUAUAAGAGUUGUGUCGGCAUGCUUGAUGAAGGAGGAAACCUCCUCCCCUUGAUCUUCAUGAAGAGGCCGAACCACCCUAGGGUGCUAAGACUUACAUUUUCACUCAUUAUGUGAUGUUGGACCUUCCAUGUCAUAUACUAUAUAUAUAGAUUUCAUAAGUAUGAUACAUUUGAUAAUUUUCCUAUGUUCUAAAGUUUAUGAGAAAUGGGUGUUUUUAAGUAUAUGUGCUUUAAAUUGCAUUAGGAAAAUAUGAUUUAAUUGAUAAGAUUUUAUUCAUAAUAAAUCUUAAUAUGACUUUAAGAAAAGUUUUUAAAGGAAUGAGUUUAAGAGAAAUUUUUCCUAUGAUAAGUAAUUGUGCCUAAGUAUGGAAUUUUCAUAAAUUACUUAAGUUUAAAUAAAGUUUCCAUUAUGAUUUCAAGAAGAUUAAAGAAAAAGAAGUUUUAUGAGAAAUGUUAUGACUUAAGAAAUAAAAUAAGGAUUUUGGGCUCUAAUAUACUUAGUGUGAAUUUGAUGCGUGAUUUGAUUUAUUAUGUAAGAUGAGCAUGCUCAGCAUUUGAUGCCAUUAAGAUAAAAAGUUACAACGAUCAUAUGCUAGGCACGUGGGUGUCUUAUGUUAGGGCGGACGCGCUCUAUAUAUUAUGAUAGGCUCUUAAAGCCCCUAUGAAUAAGCUAUGAAAAUUUAUCUGCUUCUUUUUCUCCUAAGUAUAUGCGAGCCCCUUGGUAAAUAUUUUUUUUAAAGGAAAUUAAAUGAAUGAGAUUAUAUUAUUUCUUUUAGUAAACCUUAGUUUGGAAAUAAAUGAUUAUGUUAUCAAAUGAAUUUUCAAAGCAUGAUAUUUCAGUACAUGAUUUUAAAAUAAAUAGUAUGAUUAUUGGUAAGUGUGUGAUUUAUGAGCACCACUGAAUUUUAUACUCGGCGCGUUGAUUUUUAUCACACGCAAGUUAAAGACUGUGGUUGCUGUUUGAAGACCAAAAGAGUAACAUCAGAGCAGAAGAGACUAUUUUGAUAGUAGUAGAUUGAGAUUUAUGUGAUUAAGAAUUAUGACAUGCAUAAUUAUUACAUUUUCGGAGAUUAUGUUAUUUGAAUUAUAACUUAUGCAUGUAAUUAUAAAUUAUUUUGCGUAUAUAUUUCGAGAUAAGCAUAAGAUUUAUUAAAUGAUUAAAUAUAAGAUAUGUUUAAGAUAGUUAGUAUAAUUAAGAACAUAAGGACUUGAUGUUUAUAAUAAAUGCAAUUAAUUGAUGAAUAUUAAAAUGCUAUUGAUGAUUUAUAUAGUUAUGAAGAUAUAGAAGUGUUAUUGUGUUGCUAAAUUAUUAUUGGAGUUGUUGGGAGUUGGAGUUUGCAUUAGGAAGUGUUUUGGUAUUCACAUUUUUUGUAAGCUUAGUUUAAGGGAAACUCUUGCAGUUAAUUUGUAGGAUUUUUUCCAAAAUAAUUUUCAUAAAUAAAAAUAUAUUAUCAUUAAAAAAUUUUACUCGCUAAACUUAUGAAUAUUUAAUCACAUUUAUGAUUUAUAUGUUAAAUUAGGACGGUGUCUCCGGCACCGAAUGUGGCAUCCGCUAUCAAGUCUAUCAGGACUAGGGAGUGGGUGUUACAGUUCUAGUUUUAAAUUAAAUAAAUUUCAAUGCUCAACAUUUUCACUCUUAGGUCUAAAGCUUGCAUUACCGCUCGAAUAUGUUAUCAUAUCACUUUUGGAUGAAGCAUAAGAUUCAUGCAAAUCAAGUGUGACAUUGUAGAUCUUCUUACAUUUUGCAGAAGAUGUGAAAAUAAAAGAUCUCGAGUUUGAGUCUUCACCACAAAAUUCAUCAUUAAUCUGGUGAAUCUUAUUUAAAGGGAAAUGUUACAUCUUUAUAUUCCACUUCUGAUAAUGCAUCCAUUGAGGACGAGUAUAUGUUAGUCCAUAGAUCAACGCUAUACUAUGGUCCAUUGUGCCUCCUAUGUAUAAAAAAACAAAGGGUCGAUCAUUUCUAAUAGUUGAUCUUGAACAUAUUUCAAUUCAUUAGGUCCUUUCGUGGUAAAAAAAUUGGUGCCAUUUCAAGUGAGUAUUUUUACUUUUGGGCCAAUAUCUUCUAUUCUUGAGCUCCAAAGCCCAAAUUGCAAUUUCAAUAUCAUACUAUCAUUUUUAUGCAUUAAAUAAUAUAAAAUUCCUAUAGUUCUA
rnacentral:lncRNA from 1 species